rnacentral:tRNA from 1 species
GCCAAAGUGGCGGAAUUGGUAGACGCGCACGACUCAAAAUCGUGUACCGAAAGGUGUGUGGGUUCGAUUCCCACCUUUGGUACUA